rnacentral:rRNA from 1 species
CGGGAAUUUUGGGCAAUGGGCGAAAGCCUGACCCAGCAACGCCGCGUGAAGGAUGAAAUCCCUCGGGAUGUAAACUUCGCAAGAACGGGAAGAAUAAGUCUGUGCUAACACCACAGGUGAUGACGGUACCGUUUGUAAGCUCCGGCUAACUCCGUGCCAGCAGCCGCGGUAAUACGUAGGUGGCAAGCGUUGUCCGGAUUUAUUGGGCGUAAAGAGCUCGUAGGUGGCUGAGUAAGUCGGAUGUUAAAUCCCCAGGCUCAACCUGGGACACCACCCGAUACUGCUCUGGCUAGAGUCCGGUAGGGGAGCGUGGAAUUCCUGGUGUAGCGGUGAAAUGCGCAGAUAUCAGGAGGAACACCAGCGGCGAAGGCGGCGCUCUGGGCCGGUACUGACACUGAGGAGCGAAAGCGUGGGUAGCAAA